rnacentral:ncRNA from 1 species
AAGACCUUUGUGAGUAUCCAAUGCCUCGAAAAUCUAAGGGUUCCUCCGCAAGGUUCGUCCACGAAAGGUGAGUCAAGGCCUAAGAUCAGGCCGAAAGACGUUGUCGAUAGACAAUAGGUGAAUAUUCAUGUACUACCCCUUAUUGGUCCAGAGGGAUAAAGGAGGCUAGAUUAGCUGAAAGAUAGUUAUCGAUUCAAGGACCCAUGGUGUCUCUAGUUUUUCAAGGUAAGAAGGGGUAGAGAAAAUGCCUCGAGCCAAUGUUCGAGUACUAGGUGCUACCACGCUGACGUAACCCGUUCCAUACUCCUAGAAAAAGCUCGAACGACCUUCAACAAAGGAUACCUGUACCCGAAACCGAUAUAGGUAGGUGGGUAGGUAGAGAAUACUUAGGAGUGCGAGGCAACUCUUUCUAAGAAACUCGACAAAAUAGCCCUGUAACUUUGAAAGAAGGGGUGCCUCCUCACAAAGGAAGUCGCAGCGCAUGAUAAAUAUGAUGUUAGGUUUUAGACAUAAAAAUAUAUAGGCUUUAUUCUUG